GAUGAACGCUGGCGGCGUGCCUAAUACAUGCAAGUCGAGCGAACAGACGAGGAGCUUGCUCCUCUGACGUUAGCGGCGGACGGGUGAGUAACACGUGGAUAACCUACCUAUAAGACUGGGAUAACUUCGGGAAACCGGAGCUAAUACCGGAUAAUAUAUUGAACCGCAUGGUUCAAUAGUGAAAGACGGUUUUGCUGUCACUUAUAGAUGGAUCCGCGCCGCAUUAGCUAGUUGGUAAGGUAACGGCUUACCAAGGCAACGAUGCGUAGCCGACCUGAGAGGGGGAUCGGCCACACUGGAGAUGAGACACGGGGCAGAGUCCCCCGGGGGGGAGAAGUGGAGGAACUUUCCCAAAGGGGGAAAGCCCUACAGGGCGAAGCCGCGUGAGUGAGGAAAGUGUUUGGAUCUUAAAAAUCUCUUUUUUGGGGAAAAAAAAAGUGUAAGAAAAACUAUGCGCGUUGAGGGGGCCCAUACAGAAAACGCCGGCUAAAACCAC
rnacentral:rRNA from 1 species